ensembl:ncRNA lncRNA:CR46240 long non-coding RNA:CR46240
CAUUGUUACGAAGAGCACCUUUCAAAAGUGCCUCUCCGCUGUUCGUCAAACACACUCGCACAAACUCAGGCAAACAUCACUAAGCGGAAAACAAAUUAAACAACUCCCAUGUGGAAGGGGAACUUCGGCGGUGGGAGGUUGGGUGUUUGGGUUUUGAGGAGUACUUAUUCGUAAGCUGCCUUUUGUUCGUCACGUUGGCGUCGCGAAAGUGCCAAAGUUUUUCAUUGUAAUAAAUAUUUUAAUUUUGAACUUGAGCAAUUAACCCGGCAACGCAUGUGGAAAGGAAUGGAAUGGAAAGUUGAGGAAAGGAAAGGCCACCACCGUUUGCUCCAUUGUCCUGGCAAUUGUGAUAGGGAUACCCACCCACUUGAGCCCUUUUUUUCAUACCCCUCCCAAAGGAGGGAGCGUAACGCUCUCUGUGAACAUUAUGAACUUAAGCCCCCGGCAAACAACAAUAACAAUAAGAGUCUGAGACACAUGCCAAAGUGGUUAAGUCGGCGGAGAAAUGUUGGCGAAACUUUUCGGGGCACGACGCAUUUAAAUGAUUUUGCAUAAUUCAAAUGGUGGCAAACUUUUCGUAUCCGACAAGGACACAAAAACCCUAGAAACAACAACAACAAAAUAAAAUGCGUUACGAAACUUGGCCCCGAACUU